CGGCGGACGGGUUAGUAACGCGUGGGAUCAUACCCUUUGGUACGGAAUAGCCUCUGGAAACGGAGAGUAAUACCGUAUGAGCCCUUCGGGGGAAAGAUUUAUCGCCAAAGGAUUGGCCCGCGUUAGAUUAGGUAGUUGGUGGGGUAAUGGCCUACCAAGCCUACGAUCUAUAGCUGGUUUUAGAGGAUGAUCAGCAACACUGGGACUGAGACACGGCCCAAACUCCUACGGGAGGCAGCAGUGGGGAAUCUUGGACAAUGGGGGCAACCCUGAUCCAGCCAUGCCGCGUGAGUGAUGAAGGCCUUAGGGUCGUAAAGCUCUUUCGCCUGUGAAGAUAAUGACGGUAGCAGGUAAAGAAACCCCGGCUAACUCCGUGCCAGCAGCCGCGGUAAUACGGAGGGGGUUAGCGUUGUUCGGAAUUACUGGGCGUAAAGCGCACGUAGGCGGACUGGAAAGUUGGGGGUGAAAUCCCAGGGCUCAACCCUGGAACUGCCUCCAAAACUAUCAGUCUAGAGUUCGAGAGAGGUGAGUGGAAUUCCGAGUGUAGAGGUGAAAUUCGUAGAUAUUCGGAGGAACACCAGUGGCGAAGGCGGCUCACUGGCUCGAUACUGACGCUGAGGUGCGAAAGUGUGGGGAGCAAACAGGAUUACAUACCCUGGUAGUCCACACCGUAAACGAUGAAUGCCAGUCGUCGGGUAACAUGCUAUUCGGUGACACACCUAACGGGAUUAAAGCAUUUCCGCCCUGGGGA
rnacentral:rRNA from 1 species